GGUCCUAGCCUUACUAUCAUCUGUUUCUCAUUUUACACAUGCAAGUCUCAGCACCCCAGUGAGAACGCCCUUUUAACCUACACCAGGAGAAGGAGCUGGCAUCAGGCACUAUCCCUGCCCAUAACACCUAGUCUCACCACACCCCCAAGGGUAAUCAGCAGUGAUAAAUCUUAAAUAUAAGCGACAGCUUGAUUUAGUUAGAGAAAAGAGGGCCGGCUAACCCGGUGCCAGCCGCCGCGGCUACACCGUGGGGCCCGAGCUGAUAGUCACCGGCGUUAAGCGUGAUUAAAGCCCUCAACAAUUAGGGUUAAAUUAAUAUUUAGUAGUGAUAAGCUUGUUAUUAAGAAAACCAUAAACGAAAGUUACCCUAAUUACACUUGAAUCCACGACAACUGGGAAAACAAACUGGGAUUAGAUACCCCAC
rnacentral:rRNA from 1 species